GACGAACGCUGGCGGCGUGCUUAAUACAUGCAAGUCGAACGGAGCCUAGCCGGUAGUUUACUACCAGCGAACGCUUAGUGGCGGACGGGUGAGUAACGCGUGGGCAAUCUGCCCCUAAGUCCGGGAUAACAGAGCGAAAGUUCUGCUAAGACCGGAUACUCUUCCUUGGUCGCAUGGCCUGGGAAGGAAAGGAUACGCUUAGGGAUGAGCCCGCGUCCCAUUAGCUAGUUGGUGAGGUAACGGCCCACCAAGGCGACGAUGGGUAGCCGGCCUGAGAGGGUGGACGGCCACACUGGGACUGAGACACGGCCCAGACUCCUACGGGAGGCAGCAGUAGGGAAUUUUCCGCAAUGGGGGAAACCCUGACGGAGCAACGCCGCGUGAGGGAAGAAGGUCUUCGGAUCGUAAACCUUUGUCAUCGAGGACGAAAACUGACGGUACUCGAGGAGGAAGCCCCGGCUAACUACGUG
rnacentral:rRNA from 1 species